rnacentral:lncRNA from 1 species
GGUGCUGACAUAAUUUCCUGACCUCUGACCCGUAUUGUCUCGCGAUUAAAGGUCCAGAUUUGGAACAAAUCUCUCUAGAGAUUGAACAGAGCUGCGCCUGGAUCCCUCAGCAGUGAGGAGACCUGAAGACCAGAGGAAACACAGCAAGUCCAGGCACUCCCACUCCUCCUGAGAGAAAUCUACAGCCACAUCCCUGAACAUCAUCAACUGUUGGAAAGAAUAAUUCCAAGGGCUCACCAGAGAAGACAGGGCAAGGUGAGGGGGAUCUCCUAGCAGAGGAAACAACAUGCGCCAAUCAAGCAAAGAUAUUUUUGUGCAUUCAAGGAACACAGAGAGGAAAGACAGUGGCAGAUGGAGACGUAUAAAGCAGGGAUCCUGUUAUGAAAAGCCCUAAAAAAUAGGGUAUAGAGUUUGGGCCAUAUUUCAGAGGUAAUAAGAAAGCAUUCUGCAUUUUUAAAGUAAGGUUUAAAAAUGUUUCUAAUUAGAGAUACAGCAAAGUUGGUGUGAGAGGAUAAAGACUGAUAUACAUAAUCUGAGGAGUUCAUGAAAAUUCCAUGUAAAGCCUGUAGUAUGAAUUGGUCCUAGGAGACAGACAGCUUCAGGGGCAUAGAGAACUUUAAGCACUUUUCCAAGAAGAGUGAAGGGCUGGAGAAUAAAUUGUGAACUAAAAUAUAUUUUGUGUUUGAGAAC